UACGUAGGGACCGAGCGUUGUCCGGAUUCAUUGGGCGUAAAGAGCUCGUAGGCGGCUGUUCAAGUCGAACGUGAAAACUCGGAGCUCAACUCCGAGCCUGCGUUCGAUACUGGACGGCUAGAGUCUGGUAGGGGGAUCUGGAAUUCCUGGUGUAGCGGUGGAAUGCGCAGAUAUCUGGAGGAACACCGGUGGCGAAGGCGGCAUCCUGGACCAACACUGACGCUGAGUGAGCGAAAGCCAGGGGAGCAAACGGG
rnacentral:rRNA from 1 species